rnacentral:rRNA from 1 species
AUUGAACGCUGGCGGCAGGCCUAACACAUGCAAGUCGAACGAGUGGCGGACGGGUGAGUAACGACUGGGAAACUGCCUUAUGGAGGGAGAUAACACCUGGAAACGGUAGCUAAUACCGCAUACCAUCAACUGAGCCCAGAUGGGAUUAGCCAGUUGGUGGUGUAACGGCUCAACAAGGCGACGAUCCCUAGCUGGUCUGAGAGGAUGACCAGCCGGACUGGAACAGAGAGACGAUCCAGACUCCUAGGGGAGGCAGCAGUGGGGAAUAGUGCGCAAUGGGCGGAAGCCUGAUGCAGACGGGCAGCGUGUAUGAAGAAGGCCUUCGGGUUGUAAAGUGCAUCCAGCAGGGAGGCGUUACCCGCAGAAGAAGCACCGGCUAAGUCCGUGCCAGCAGCCGCGGUAAUUC